UCUCCGUAGGUGAACCUGCGGAGGGAUCAUUACAGAGUUCAUGCCCUACCGGGUAGAUCUCCCACCCUAUGUUAUUAUUACUUUGUUGCUUUGGCGGGCCGUUAGGCUCCGGCCCGACUACCGGCCCCGGCUGGUAAGCGCCCGCCAGAGGACCCAAAACCCUGAAUAUUAGUAUCGACUGAGUACUAUAUAAUAGUUAAAACUUUCAACAACGGAUCUCUUGGUUCUG
rnacentral:misc_RNA from 1 species